AGCAAACUAAGGUUUAGAGAGAUUGGAGACGUGAUCAAGGUCACGUGACUUCCUAGUAAGUUAAUUGGAGACUAGCCAUCUAGAAACUAUUUCUCUUCACCACCCGCCGCCACUCAGGUCCCAGUCUCAUCAACUCUUACUUGAAUUACUUCAGUGGCCUACUAACCAGUCUCCCAGCUUCUACUGUCGCCCCCAACAGUCCUUCUGAAAGAGCAAUCUGGAGUUCUUAACUCAGACCAGUGCACGUCUCCCCUAAGCUUCAGUCCCUCAGUGCUGUCCAUUUCUCUCAGAAUAUAAACCAAGGGCACCUCUUGGCCCCCACACACUCUCCCCUGGCUUGCUCAUCUCUAGCCACUCUGGCUUCCUCCUUGUCCCUUGAACACACUGGGCAAAAUUCCACCUCGCUUAUUUCUCCUUGGACUGCUGUUCCUCAGAUAGCCACAUGGCUCACUCUUACCUCCUUCCCUGGGUUCAAAGGCUGAGCAUCAUCUAAAGAAAUUGCUCCCACCCCUGCAUUCCUGCUGCCUCUUAGCUCUCCUCCCCAAUAGGAUUCAUCUACCCCCCUCUAAUACUUUUUCCUUUUUUUUUUUUUAGGUGUUGAUGGACACAACCCAAUGCCUUUAUUUUUAUGUGGUGCUGAGGAUCGAACCUGGGUCCCGCCUGUGCUAGGCGAGUGCUCUACCGCUGAGCCACAAUCCCAACCCCUUUUUGCUUUUUUUGAUUAUUUAUUUGUUUAUUGACUGUCUUCCCCUCUGCAGAGGAUGCAAGUCCCAUUAGGUCAGGGACCCUUGUCUUUACUUGUGUGUCCUGGCCCCACACCGAUGCUCAAUUAAGCUUUUCUGAGUAAAUGGUAAAAUGGUGGAAUGAGGCUAUGAAACCAGGUGACUUUUCUCCAGGCGCUCUUAACUAAAUCAGGAGGCAGUGUUGUGUUGUUCAGGGAUUAUCUCCAUGACCGCUGCUUUCUACUAUUACCCAAGCCUGAAUGAAGGCUCAGCCUCGCACACCUGUGAGGUCACUUAGCAGGCAUCUUACCGUAGUUACUUGGCUUCCUUAUCUCUCUCUUCCAAGGACAGAUUUUACUCUUGUAUUCCCCAAGUCACCUCUGCCUGCCUCACUGAGCCAUUGUUCUGACAACAGUAACAUCCCAACACUUUCCUCUAUAAAAAGCACCAGCAAAGGCAGCAGUGGACCCAAGGGCCCAGGGAAGGGUUCCGGUAGGAUCCACUCCUGGAGAGGCUGUCCCCAUAUCAGUCUGAGCUUGGGUCAGCUGCCUUCCUGCUGUCCCACCUGUAGACACAGAGUGGAACCAAACCACAUGCCUUCCCACUUCUUCACCUCACAUCGCUUUGUAACUCUGUGGCUGCGAACUUCUCAACUGUCCUGUCAAGUUUCAUGAUAAAAUUGUACUUCUAGAAAGCAGAUCCCACCUGUGCUCUGGCUAAUUUCUUCUUUGGCUUUGUACAAAAGGUGCUAUGUUUCUGGCUUUCCUCAGGCCCCAAGCACUGUAUGUGUGCAUGUGUUUAAACAAGUUUAGAUCCCAUACAUUUCAUUCAUUUUAAGCACACAAUGAAAUGGACUUUAAAAAUUUCACCCAGUUGUGCAGCCAACACCACAAUCCAGUUUCAAAAUCAAUCCCAUCACCCCAGGAAGGUCCCUCAAACUCAUUUACAGUCAGUCCCCACCUUACCUUAUUCCAGGCAUCCACUAAUCUACUUUGUCUCUACAGAUUCACUUAUUUUGGACAUUUAAUAUCAACGGAAUCAUUCCACAAGUCUGACUUUUUCUACUUAGCAUAAUGCUUCUGAGUUUCAUCCAUGCUGAAGUGUGUACAAUAUUUUGUUCUUUUUUUAUACAGUAUCCCGGGUG
rnacentral:lncRNA from 1 species